rnacentral:rRNA from 1 species
CUUGCUUCUCUUGAGAGCGGCGGACGGGUGAGUAAUGCCUAGGAAUCUGCCUGGUAGUGGGGGAUAACGUCCGGAAACGGACGCUAAUACCGCAUACGUCCUACGGGAGAAAGCAGGGGACCUUCGGGCCUUGCGCUAUCAGAUGAGCCUAGGUCGGAUUAGCUAGUUGGUGGGGUAAUGGCUCACCAAGGCGACGAUCCGUAACUGGUCUGAGAGGAUGAUCAGUCACACUGGAACUGAGACACGGUCCAGACUCCUACGGGAGGCAGCAGUGGGGAAUAUUGGACAAUGGGCGAAAGCCUGAUCCAGCCAUGCCGCGUGUGUGAAGAAGGUCUUCGGAUUGUAAAGCACUUUAAGUUGGGAGGAAGGGCAGUAAAUUAAUACUUUGCUGUUUUGACGUUACCGACAGAAUAAGCACCGGCUAACUCUGUGCCAGCAGCCGCGGUAAUACAGAGGGUGCAAGCGUUAAUCGGAAUUACUGGGCGUAAAGCGCGCGUAGGUGGUUCGUUAAGUUGGAUGUGAAAUCCCCGGGCUCAACCUGGGAACUGCAUUCAAAACUGACGAGCUAGAGUAUGGUAGAGGGUGGUGGAAUUUCCUGUGUAGCGGUGAAAUGCGUAGAUAUAGGAAGGAACACCAGUGGCGAAGGCGACCACCUGGACUGAUACUGACACUGAGGUGCGAAGCGUGGGGAGCAA